UUUUUAUGCAAGUCGAACGAACUCUGGUAAUGAUUGGUGCUUGCAUCAUGAGUUACAUUUGAGUGAGUGGCGAACUGGUGAGUAACACGUGGGAAACCUGCCCAGAAGCGGGGGAUAACACCUGGAAACAGAUGCUAAUACCGCAUAACAACUUGGACCGCAUGGUCCGAGUUUGAAAGAUGGCUUCGGCUAUCACUUUUGGAUGGUCCCGCGGCGUAUUAGCUAGAUGGUGAGGUAACGGCUCACCAUGGCAAUGAUACGUAGCCGACCUGAGAGGGUAAUCGGCCACAUUGGGACUGAGACACGGCCCAAACUCCUACGGGAGGCAGCAGUAGGGAAUCUUCCACAAUGGACGAAAGUCUGAUGGAGCAACGCCGCGUGAGUGAAGAAGGGUUUCGGCUCGUAAAACUCUGUUGUUAAAGAAGAACAUAUCUGAGAGUAACUGUUCAGGUAUUGACGGUAUUUAACCAGAAAGCCACGGCUAACUACGUGCCAGCAGCCGCGGUAAUACGUAGGUGGCAAGCGUUGUCCGGAUUUAUUGGGCGUAAAGCGAGCGCAGGCGGUUUUUUAAGUCUGAUGUGAAAGCCUUCGGCUCAACCGAAGAAGUGCAUCGGAAACUGGGAAACUUGAGUGCAGAAGAGGACAGUGGAACUCCAUGUGUAGCGGUGAAAUGCGUAGAUAUAUGGAAGAACACCAGUGGCGAAGGCGGCUGUCUGGUCUGUAACUGACGCUGAGGCUCGAAAGUAUGGGUAGCAAACAGGAUUAGAUACCCUGGUAGUCCAUACCGUAAACGAUGAAUGCUAAGUGUUGGAGGGUUUCCGCCCUUCAGUGCUGCAGCUAACGCAUUAAGCAUUCCGCCUGGGGAGUACGGCCGCAAGGCUGAAACUCAAAGGAAUUGACGGGGGCCCGCACAAGCGGUGGAGCAUGUGGUUU
rnacentral:rRNA from 1 species